AAUGAACGCUGGCGGCAGGCCUAACACAUGCAAGUCGAACGGAUCCUUCGGGAUUAGUGGCGGACGGGUGAGUAACGCGUGGGAACAUACCCUUUGGUACGGAAUAGCCUCGGGAAACUGGGAGCAAUACCGUAUGUGGUCGAGAGACGAAAGAUUUAUCGCCAAAGGAUUGGCCCGCGUUGGAUUAGGUAGUUGGUGGGGUAAUGGCCUACCAAGCCGACGAUCCAUAGCUGGUUUGAGAGGAUGAUCAGCCACACUGGGACUGAGACACGGCCCAGACUCCUACGGGAGGCAGCAGUGGGGAAUCUUAGACAAUGGGGGAAACCCUGAUCUAGCCAUGCCGCGUGAUCGAUGAAGGCCUUAGGGUUGUAAAGAUCUUUCAGGUGGGAAGAUAAUGACUGUACCACCAGAAGAAGCCCCGGCUAACCCCGUGCCAGCCGCCGCAGUAA
rnacentral:rRNA from 1 species